rnacentral:misc_RNA from 1 species
UUUCCGUAGGUGAACCUGCGGAAGGAUCAUUCAUAAUAAAGUGUUUUAUGGCACUUUCUAAAAAUCCAUAUCCACCUUGUGUGCAAUGUUAGAUCUCGUCAAUCUUGGCGAGAUUUUUAUACAUCAACUCAUUCUUUAACUAAUUUGUCUGAAAAAUAUUAUGAAUACUUAAUUCAAAAUACAACUUUCAACAACGGAUCUCUUGGCUCUC